AACGAACGCUGGCGGCGCGCCUAAUACAUGCAAGUCGAGCGAGAAGGUGUAGCAAUACACUUGUAAAGCGGCGAACGGGUGAGGAAUACAUGGGUAAUCUACCAUCGAGUGGGGAAUAACCAACCGAAAGGUUGGCUAAUACCGCGUACGCCUCCGAGUCUUCGGGUUCGGAGGGAAAGCUGCACUGUGAGUGUAGCGCUCUUUGAUGAGCUCAUGUCCUAUCAGCUUGUUGGUAGGGUAACGGCCUACCAAGGCUUUGACGGGUAGCUGGUCUGAGAGGACGAUCAGCCACACUGGCACUGCGACACGGGCCAGACUCCUACGGGAGGCAGCAGUAAGGAAUAUUGCGCAAUGGGCGAAAGCCUGACGCAGCGACGCCGCGUGGAGGAUGAAGGUUUUUGGAUUGUAAACUCCUUUUGUGGGGAAAGAAUGGAUGGUACCCCAAGAAUAAGUCACGGCUAACUACGUGCCAGCAGCCGCGGUAAAGCGUAUGU
rnacentral:rRNA from 1 species